GACGAACGCUGGCGGCGUGCUUAACACUUGCAAGUCGAACGGGAUUUAGUAAACAGAAACCUCGGUGGAAGAUUACUAAUGAGAGUGGCGAACGGGUGAGUAACGCGUGAGCAACCUGCCUAUGACAGUGGGAUAGCCUCGGGAAACCGGGAUUAAUACCGCAUAAAAUCGUAGAAACACAUGUUUUAACGGUCAAAGAUUUAUCGGUCAUAGAUGGGCUCGCGUCUGAUUAGCUAGUUGGUGAGAUAACAGCCCACCAAGGCGACGAUCAGUAGCCGGUCUGAGAGGAUGAACGGCCACAUUGGAACUGAGACACGGUCCAAACUCCUACGGGAGGCAGCAGUGGGGAAUAUUGCACAAUGGGGGAAACCCUGAUGCAGUGACGCCGCGUGAACGAAGAAGGUAUUCGUAUCGUAAAGUUCUGUCCAUGGGAAGAUAAUGACAGUACCAUAGAAGAAAGCUCCGGCUAAAUACGUG
rnacentral:rRNA from 1 species